rnacentral:rRNA from 1 species
UCAGAAGGCACACCCGGAGAACUGAAACAUCUUAGUACCCGGAGGAAGAGAAAGAAAAUUCGAUUCCCUUAGUAGCGGCGAGCGAAACGGGAAGAGCCCAAACCAAAAAGCUUGCUUGUUGGGGUUGUAGGACACUCUAUACGGAGUUACAAAGGACGACAUUAGACGAAUCAUCUGGAAAGAUGAAUCAAAGAAGGUAAUAAUCCUGUAGUCGAAAAUGUUGUCUCUCUUGAGUGGAUCCUGAGUACGACGGAGCACGUGAAAUUCCGUCGGAAUCUGGGAGGACCAUCUCCUAAGGCUAAAUACUCUCUAGUGACCGAUAGUGAACCAGUACCGUGAGGGAAAGGUGAAAAGCACCCCGGAAGGGGAGUGAAAUAGAACCUGAAACCGUGUGCUUACAAGUAGUCAGAGCCCGUUAAUGGGUGAUGGCGUGCCUUUUGUAGAAUGAACCGGCGAGUUACGAUUUGAUGCAAGGUUAAGCAGUAAAUGUGGAGCCGUAGCGAAAGCGAGUCUGAAUAGGGCGUUUAGUAUUUGGUCGUAGACCCGAAACCAGGUGAUCUACCCUUGGUCAGGUUGAAGUUCAGGUAACACUGAAUGGAGGACCGAACCGACUUACGUUGAAAAGUGAGCGGAUGAACUGAGGGUAGCGGAGAAAUUCCAAUCGAACCUGGAGAUAGCUGGUUCUCUCCGAAAUAGCUUUAGGGCUAGCCUCAAGUGAUGAUUAUUGGAGGUAGAGCACUGUUUGGACGAGGGGCCCCUCUCGGGUUACCGAAUUCAGACAAACUCCGAAUGCCAAUUAAUUUAACUUGGGAGUCAGAACAUGGGUGAUAAGGUCCGUGUUCGAAAGGGAAACAGCCCAGACCACCAGCUAAGGUCCCAAAAUAUAUGUUAAGUGGAAAAGGAUGUGGCGUUGCCCAGACAACUAGGAUGUUGGCUUAGAAGCAGCCAUCAUUUAAAGAGUGCGUAAUAGCUCACUAGUCGAGUGACACUGCGCCGAAAAUGUACCGGGGCUAAACAUAUUACCGAAGCUGUGGAUUGUCCUUUGGACAAUGGUAGGAGAGCGUUCUAAGGGCGUUGAAGCAUGAUCGUAAGGACAUGUGGAGCGCUUAGAAGUGAGAAUGCCGGUGUGAGUAGCGAAAGACGGGUGAGAAUCCCGUCCACCGAUUGACUAAGGUUUCCAGAGGAAGGCUCGUCCGCUCUGGGUUAGUCGGGUCCUAAGCUGAGGCCGACAGGCGUAGGCGAUGGAUAACAGGUUGAUAUUCCUGUACCACCUAUAAUCGUUUUAAUCGAUGGGGGGACGCAGUAGGAUAGGCGAAGCGUGCGAUUGGAUUGCACGUCUAAGCAGUAAGGCUGAGUAUUAGGCAAAUCCGGUACUCGUUAAGGCUGAGCUGUGAUGGGGAGAAGACAUUGAGUCUUCGAGUCGUUGAUUUCACACUGCCGAGAAAAGCCUCUAGAUAGAAAAUAGGUGCCCGUACCGCAAACCGACACAGGUAGUCAAGAUGAGAAUUCUAAGGUGAGCGAGCGAACUCUCGUUAAGGAACUCGGCAAAAUGACCCCGUAACUUCGGGAGAAGGGGUGCUCUUUAGGGUUAACGCCCAGAAGAGCCGCAGUGAAUAGGCCCAAGCGACUGUUUAUCAAAAACACAGGUCUCUGCUAAACCGUAAGGUGAUGUAUAGGGGCUGACGCCUGCCCGGUGCUGGAAGGUUAAGAGGAGUGGUUAGCUUCUGCGAAGCUACGAAUCGAAGCCCCAGUAAACGGCGGCCGUAACUAUAACGGUCCUAAGGUAGCGAAAUUCCUUGUCGGGUAAGUUCCGACCCGCACGAAAGGCGUAACGAUUUGGGCACUGUCUCAACGAGAGACUCGGUGAAAUCAUAGUACCUGUGAAGAUGCAGGUUACCCGCGACAGGACGGAAAGACCCCGUGGAGCUUUACUGUAGCCUGAUAUUGAAAUUCGGCACAGCUUGUACAGGAUAGGUAGGAGCCUUUGAAACGUGAGCGCUAGCUUACGUGGAGGCGCUGGUGGGAUACUACCCUAGCUGUGUUGGCUUUCUAACCCGCACCACUUAUCGUGGUGGGAGACAGUGUCAAGCGGGCAGUUUGACUGGGGCGGUCGCCUCCUAAAAGGUAACGGAGGCGCUCAAAGGUUCCCUCAGAAUGGUUGGAAAUCAUUCAUAGAGUGUAAAGGCAUAAGGGAGCUUGACUGCGAGACCUACAAGUCGAGCAGGGUCGAAAGACGGACUUAGUGAUCCGGUGGUUCCGCAUGGAAGGGCCAUCGCUCAACGGAUAAAAGCUACCCCGGGGAUAACAGGCUUAUCUCCCCCAAGAGUUCACAUCGACGGGGAGGUUUGGCACCUCGAUGUCGGCUCAUCGCAUCCUGGGGCUGUAGUCGGUCCCAAGGGUUGGGCUGUUCGCCCAUUAAAGCGGUACGCGAGCUGGGUUCAGAACGUCGUGAGACAGUUCGGUCCCUAUCCGUCGUGGGCGUAGGAAAUUUGAGAGGAGCUGUCCUUAGUACGAGAGGACCGGGAUGGACAUACCUCUGGUGUACCAGUUGUCGUGCCAACGGCAUAGCUGGGUAGCUAUGUGUGGACGGGAUAAGUGCUGAAAGCAUCUAAGCAUGAAGCCCCCCUCAAGAUGAGAUUUCCCAACUUCGGUUAUAAGAUCCCUCAAAGAUGAUGAGGUUAAUAGGUUCGAGGUGGAAGCAUGGUGACAUGUGGAGCUGACGAAUACUAAUCGAUCGAAGACUUAAUCAA